ensembl:snoRNA small nucleolar RNA SNORA12
UCAUGUGGUGGUUUUCUUCCUGGCACAUUUGUUAAGUUUUCAAAUGGGCCUGACUCUGCCACAUAUAUUAUAUAGAAGCUGGGAAAGGCUUGAUGACAAAGAGAUCUCCCUCUCUGGCCUUUCUGCAUCAGAGAUUGGCUCCCACAUGU